GUGUUUUCCAAGAAUGUAGGUUCUGUGCCAAGAACAGGAUUAACACCAGUGUUACACACAAGAACUAGAUGGUGAAAACUAUGGAUGAGUCUAUGCAUUAUAAUGAGAUAAUAAAACAUAAUGAAGUAAACGGUA